rnacentral:rRNA from 1 species
AUUGAACGCUGGCGGCAGGCCUAACACAUGCAAGUCGAGCGCGAAAGGCCUUCGGGCUGAGUAGAGCGGCGGACGGGUGAGUAACGCGGAGGAAUCUACCUGGUAGUGGGGGACAACUUGGGGAAACUCAAGCUAAUACCGCAUACGCCCCAUGGGGGAAGGCGGGGGACCUUCGGGCCUCGCGCUAUCAGAUGAGCCUGCGUAGGAUUAGCUAGUUGGUGAGGUAAAGGCGCACCAAGGCGAAGAUCCUUAGCUGGUCUGAGAGGAUGAUCAGCCACACUGGGACUGAGACACGGCCCAGACUCCUACGGGAGGCAGCAGUGGGGAAUAUUGCGCAAUGGGGGCAACCCUGACGCAGCCAUGCCGCGUGUGUGAAGAAGGCCUUCGGGUUGUAAAGCACUUUAAGUGGGGAGAAAGGCCCGUUGGUUAAUAGCCAGCGGGAUUGAUGUUACCCACAGAAUAAGCACCGGCUAACUCCGUGCCAGCCGCCGCGGUAAGAC